CUCUCUAUUUUUUGGGAUUGAGAAGGACGAUGUUCUUCAAGAAACUAGAGUUUUCAAUGAUCCUCAGCUUGAUCCUCGAAGAUGCUCUCAGGUUAUCACAAAGCUUCUUUAUCUACUGAACCAAGGAGAAACAUUCACUAAGGUUGAAGCGACAGAGGUUUCUUUUCUAUGACAAAGUUGUUCCAAUCAAAGGAUAUAGGUUUGAGGAGAAUGGUUCAUGUGAUGAUAAAGGAGCUAUCUCCAUCAGCAGAUGAUGUUAUUAUUGUUACAAGCUCUCUCAUGAAGGACAUGACUAGCAAGACUGAUAUGUGUCGAGCAAAUGUUAUC